rnacentral:misc_RNA from 1 species
GUGAGUCAUCGAAUCUUUGAACGCACAUUGCGCCCGCCAGCAUUCUGGCGGGCAUGCCUGUUCGAGCGUCAUUUCAACCCUCAAGCUCUGCUUGGUGUUGGGGCCCUACAGCUGAUGUAGGCCCUCAAAGGUAGUGGCGGACCCUCCCGGAGCCUCCUUUGCGUAGUAACUUUACGUCUCGCACUGGGAUCCGGAGGGACUCUUGCCGUAAAACCCCCCAAUUUUCCAAAGGUUGACCUCGGAUCAGGUAGGAAUACCCGCUGAACUUAAGCAUAUCAAUAAGCGGAGGA